AAAGUGGAGCAAUCCAUGAGUAAAGUGGCGCACGGGUGAGUAACACGUGACUAACCUACCCUGGAGUGGGGGAUAACUGAGGGAAACCUUAGCUAAUACCGCAUAAUACCUACGGGUCAAAGGAGCAAUUCGCUUCAGGAGGGGGUCGCGGCCGAUUAGUUAGUUGGCGGGGUAAUGGCCCACCAAGACAGUGAUCGGUAUCCGGCCUGAGAGGGCGCACGGACACACUGGAACUGAAACACGGUCCAGACUCCUACGGGAGGCAGCAGUGGGGAAUUUUGCGCAAUGGGGGAAACCCUGACGCAGCAACGCCGCGUGGAGGAUGAAGUCCUUCGGGACGUAAACUCCUUUCGAUCGGGACGAUUAUGACGGUACCGGAAGAAGAAGCCCCGGCUAACUUCGUGCCAGCAGCCGCGGUAAUACGAGGGGGGCGAGCGUUGUUCGGAAUUAUUGGGCGUAAAGGGUGCGUAGGCGGUUUUGUAAGUCUUAUGUGAAAUCUAUGGGCUCAACUCAUAGACUGCAUGAGAAACUGCAGGGCUUGAGUAUGGGAGAGGUGAGUGGAAUUCCUGGUGUAGCGGUGAAAUGCGUAGAUAUCAGGAGGAACACCUGUGGCGAAAGCGGCUCACUGGACCAUAACUGACGCUGAUGCACGAAAGCUAGGGGAGCAAACAGGAUUAGAUACCCUGGUAGUCCUAGCCCUAAACGAUGACUGCUUGGUGUGACGGGUACCCAAUCCCGCCGUGCCGUAGCUACGCGUUAAGCAGUCCGCCUGGGGAGUACGGUCGCAAGGCUGAAACUCAAAGGAAUUUGACGGGGG
rnacentral:rRNA from 1 species